rnacentral:lncRNA from 1 species
CAAAGCGAUGAAAUCAACCAUCCAGCAAAAUGCGGGGCACCAUUAAUAUUACUGUGAAUACGACCUAUAGGUGUUACAGUAGAAUGAGUCCUAACAUAUACCGUAUCUCCAAUAUUUAAAACUACAACGAUACUUCCUGUCGAAAAUUGACGACAGCAUCCCUUGUAGACAUUAACAUGAUUCCUUCCCUUCACCUCGUCGUUUUUCAUAACUUUGAAUGUUCCUGUAUCCUGGCAAUUCAUUCUUAAU